rnacentral:piRNA from 1 species
UGGGAGAUGGCACAGCUCUCCAGAGCUUUGA